rnacentral:lncRNA from 1 species
GUUAUUCAAGUCAAAUUCAAGUGUGGUGCCCAAUUUGUUCCAUGUGCCUAGCCUAUUCUCCAAACUUAGCGGACAAGGAGGAAGAUUGCUAUAUUUUCAGGGAAGUCCUCAGCUUUACUUUUUUCUAUUUCAGCCAUUGAGGACAAUGUCUAGUUUAAGUUUGGGGGCAUUUUAGUGUCGUACUGCAUAUAGUUAGUUAUUUGCAUUGUAGUUCGUUAUUUUUGUGUUAGCAUUGUUUUUUUUAGGUUGCAUAUAAUACAUGGUAGUUAAUUGCAUAUGCAUACAUAGGUUAUAUUAGUAUGUGUUCAUGUAGUAUAAUUGCAUUUUUAUUUUUAUUUUUUUUGCAUGAAUCUGUGCGAUUAGUUGGUGUGGUCUUAGCUCGGCCUAUGAUAAGAUUGGUAUUAAUUGUUAACUUAAACAGUGUUGAUAAUUGAUAAUGAGUUCUAAUUUUAAACAUGAAGAAAAUCUGAGCCUGUCUGAAACUUAUGUAAUCGGUUAGCACUUAAAGUUUAACUGUUUUAAUCUACUUGGUUCAAGGGUUUCAUAAUUUGUUUUUAAGGAAAAAUCUUGGUUAAAAUUUAAGGAAAUUAGUGAACUGGCGGUAAAGGUUGGAAUGACGUAAAAGCUUGAGUUUGGGGGAAUCUAUGGGAUAUAUA